AAAACAUCCAUGAAGUCAACUGCAGUUUGGGGUAAUCUUUCUUGAUUUUCUCCUUAACUAGCGGCCAAGGUCUUUUCUCAACGACUAAUCCAUAGUACAGCAAGAAGAGAAAGUUGUUCCAAGGUGAGGAUGUCACCUGCUCCAGUAACACCUUCUGCGCUAUUGUCUUAUUAUCUUUCCUCCCUUUGAAAAUAAUGUCCAACAACUUGUGCAGGUAGUGCCCAAAAGGUCCACCAUAAGCAAAUCCAAAGGCUAUUUUGAGUAGAAGACGGUUCAACUGGAUCCUCUGAAUACCAGACAGCUUCUGCGCCACCGAGUCGCUCACCCCGGCGAGCACACCG
rnacentral:misc_RNA from 1 species